GCUGGGCACGGUGGCGCGUGCCUGUAGUCCCAGCUACUCAGGAGGCUGAGGCUGGAGGAUCGCUUGAGCCCAGGAGUUCUGGGCUUUAGCAUGCUUUACCAAUCGGGUGUCUGCACUAAGUUCAGCAUCAAUAUGGUGACCUCCCAGGAACGGGGGACCACCAGGUUGCCUAAGGAGGGGUGAAGGGGCCCAGGUCAGAAACCAAGCAGGUCAAAACUCCCAUGCUGAUCAGUAGUGGGAUCGCACCUGUGAAUAGCCACUGCACUCCAGCUUGGGCAACAUAGGUAGACCCCGUCUCU
rnacentral:SRP_RNA from 1 species